rnacentral:snoRNA from 1 species
ACAUCCUGCCCUGUCUGGCGCCCUUGCUGUGCAAACGGGUUGGUGGCGGGGCCCGCCCGAAAGCGCAAGAGAGA